UACAGAGGUCUCAAGCGUUGUUCGGAUUCAUUGGGCGUAAAGGGUGCGUAGGUGGCGGGGCAAGUCUGGUGUGAAAUCCCGGGGCUCAACCCUGGAACUGCACUGGAUACUGCUUUGCUAGAGUACUGGAGAGGGAACUGGAAUUUACGGUGUAGCAGUGAAAUGCGUAGAUAUCGUAAGGAAGACCAGUGGCGAAGGCGAGUUCCUGGACAGUUACUGGCACUGAGGCACGAAGGCCAGGGGAGCAAGCGGG
rnacentral:rRNA from 1 species